rnacentral:rRNA from 1 species
GACGAACGCUGGCGGCGUGGAUUAGGCAUGCAAGUCGAACGGUAUCAUCCUUUCGGGGGUGAGAGAGUGGCGAACUGGUGAGUAACACGUAGGUUAUCUACCCUCAAGACGGGGACAACCCAGGGAAACUUGGGCUAAUACCGGAUGUGAGCAACUUUUAGUUGUUUGAAAGGUGGCGUAAGCUGUCGCUUGGGGAUGAGCCUGCGUCCUAUUAGUUAGUUGGUGAGGUAACGGCUCACCUAGGCAAUGAUAGGUAGGCGGCCUUAACGGGUGGUCGCCCACACUGGGAUUGAGAUACGGCCCAGACUCCUACGGGAGGCAGCAGUCGAGAAUAGUCUACAAUGGUCGGAAGACUGAUAGUGCGACGCCGCGUGAACGAUGAAUCCCUUCGGGGUGUAAAGUUCUUUUAUAUGUGAGCAGUGCUUCUUAUAUUAACAGUAUGGGGAGAGAGAUAUUAGCAUAUGAAUAAGCAAACGGCUAAACUCCGUGCCAGCAGCCGCGGUAAAAA